rnacentral:rRNA from 1 species
GACGAACGCUGGCUGCGUGCUUAACACAUGCAAGUCGAACGGUAAGGCCCUUCGGGGUACACGAGUUGCGAACGGGUGAGUAACAAGGGGGAGAUCUGCCCUGCACUCCGGGAUAAGCCUGGGUAAAUGGGUCUAAUGCCCGAUAGGACUCCUGGCCUCCUUGUUGGGGGGGGAAAACAUUUGCGGUGUGGGAUGGGCCCCAGGCCUCUCAGCUUUUUGGUGGGGUAAUGGCCGACCAAGGCGACGACGGUUAGCCUGCCUGAGAGGGUGACUGGUCACACUGGGACUGAGAUACGGCCCAGACUCCUACGGGAGGCAGCAGUGGGGAAUAUUGCACAAUGGGCGCAAGCCUGAUGCAGCGACGCCGCGUGAGGGAUGACGGCCUUCGGGUUGUAAACCUCUUUCAGCUAUGACGAAGCGCAAGUGACGGUAGUAGCAGAAGAAGGACCGGCCAACUACGUGCCAGCCGCCGCAGUAA